rnacentral:rRNA from 1 species
AUGGAGGGUAGGAAAGAAAGGGGGAGAUUAAGGAAUUUUGUCCGGCGCAUGGCAAUGGAGUGCCUUUGCUCUGGAGAGCAGCUGAAAGGGGCAGAUGACACCAUCCGGUCAUCGGACUCUAUGUUUACCAAAGAUUUCUCAGCAAGUGGGUACUCUUCCAGGAAUGGAGAGGUUGAGCAAUACCUUGAUAAUGGCAACAUCGAGGAAGCUGAGUUGUCACUGCGGGAGGGCGUGUGCCUUAACUAUGAGGAAGCAAGGGCAUUGCUAGGAAGGCUAGAGUACCAACGAGGACAUGUAGAAGCAGCACUUCGUGUGUUUGAUGGGAUAGACAUAUCUUCGUUAGUUCCUAAGAUGAAAAUCUCAAUUGCUAGAAAAGCACAUCGCCGGAAGACUCGUUCACAAUGGGAUGCUCCACCAAUGCCCUUGCAUGCUGUGAGCCUACUUAUGGAGGCCAUAUAUCUCAAAGCAAGAGCACUUCAUGAUCUCGGAAAGUUCAAAGAUGCUGCACAAGAGUGCAGAAUGAUAUUGGAUAUUGUGGAAGCAGCAGUACCUGAAGGCUUACCAGCAGGCUUUGGAAAAGGUUGUAAAUUGAACGAAAUAAUAUGCAAGGCCGUAGAGUUUCUCCCUGAGUUAUGGAAAUUAGCAGGGUUUUCGCUUGAAGCCAUUUCUGAAUAUAGGAGGUCUCUUCUCAAUAAUUGGAAUCUUGAUGGAGAGACCAUAGCUAAAAUACAAAAGGAAUUUGCUGUUUUUCUUCUGUACAGUGGCUGUGAAGCCCGCCCUCCAAAUCUCCAUUCUCAGUUGGAUGGUUCAUUUGUACCACGCAACAAUAUGGAAGAGGCUACACUCCUUUUAAUGAUUCUAUUGAGGAAGUUUAAUCUGAGGAGGGUUGAGCGGGAUCCCACUGUGAUGCAUCACCUUACUUUUGCGCUGUCCAUGUCAGGGCAACUAAAACCACUGGCUGUACAAUUUGAAGAACUGUUACCUGGUCUGCUAGACAAAAGAGAAUGGUCAUACAAUGUUGCAUUGUGUUACCUGGCAGAAAAAGAUGAUUCUACUGCCCUGAAUCUACUCAAAAGGAUACUGAAGAUUGGACAGGAUUCUGACAACCUCAAAGAACUUCUCCUAGCUUCAAAAGUUUGCGUUGAGAAGGGUGCUCAUGCUGAAGGCGCUGCCUAUGCACGGAGGGCUAUAACUAAUAUACAAGGAGGAUGCAAACAAUUGGCGGGUGUUGCAGAUCUUUUGCUUGGUGUGUCCCUUUCUAAUCAAGCUAGAUAUGCUAUAUCUGAUACCGAGCGAGCUUCUUGGCAGUGUGAAGCACUCGAAGUACUUGGCAGUGCCGAAAAAAACAUGCAUGGGCAAGAUUGUAGGAUAAUGUACAAUCUGAGCCUUGAAAAUGCUGAGCAAAGGAAGUUAGACGCAGCAGUAUUUUAUGCAAAAAAACUGGUGAAGUUAGAGGCUGGAUCAGAGUUGAGGAGUUGGCUUCUUUUAGCUCGAAUACUGAGUGCACAAAAACUGUUUACUGAUGCUGAAACCGUUGUUGAUGCUGCUCUUGAUCAGACUGGGAAAUGGAAUCAAGGAUAUUUGUUGCGAACCAAAGCCAGAAUUCAGGCUGCACAGGGGCAAUUGAGGGAUGCGGUUGGGACAUAUACCCAACUUCUUGCUUUAAUUCAACUUAGAACAAAAAGUUUUGGAGCUGGGAUCUCACUGGCAAAGGGUGGCGAAGAUGAUAAAAGCCUGGAAACAGAGACCUGGUAUGAUCUAGCUCUCUUGUACCUAGGCAUGUCACAGUGGAGGGAUGCAGAAGUUUGUGUAUCAAAGAUAAGAGCAACUAAUUGUUAUUCUGCCUUCGCUUGGCAUGCUACAGGAAAACUAUGCGAAGCGAAAGAUCUUCCAAAAGAAGCUUUGGGGGCUUAUUUUCGAGCAUUAGACUUUGAUAGUAAACAUGUUCCAAGUUUGAUAUCGACUGCUACUAUUCUACGACAACUUGGGGACAGGCCAUUGCCUUCUGUACGGUGCUUCCUGACUGAUGCACUGCAGCUUGAUAGAACAAAUCAUAUGGCAUGGUUUAAUCUUGGCCUACUCUACAAAGAGGAAGGUGGCAGGUCAGCAGCUGAGGCUGCUGAAUGUUUCCAAGCUGCUGCACUUCUUGAGGAAACAGCACCUGUAGAACCUUUCAGAUGA